UAUUUCUGCGCUUGAUAAAUGCUGGAAUCUACACUUUCCAGCGGUGGGAUGAUUUAGGGUCAAGCACCCCCAACACAGGACUGAGUGCUUUCAUGCAUUGGGGUCAGUUGUUCAACACUUGCACCCACAACUAUCCCCAUAGAGUUACUUGUAAAUAGCACAAAGGGCUACUUAGUCUGACUUCUGUAUGAGGUUUUCCGACUCCCUGAGCCACAAAUGGCAAGAGACAAUGUAAAGAGCCCGAGUAGAGAGAACAAGGCCCAAUGCUGCCUGGGCAGAACUAACACACACACAAUACACACACAAUACACACACAAUACACAAAGCCAGUGCACUUUAACUGAUCUAAGAGAUGGGCAGACACUGGGGCUCAAGCCACAAAAUCGUUCUUCUUGCUGCUGUGUCGCACGUUGAAGGAUCUCACACAAAGCGCAAUAAAGCGACAUUUGCCUAAUGCGACGAACUAGAGCGAUUCCCAGCAGCUGCACGACAGGGGAAGUAUGCGCCUCUCACAACACGAAUUAAUGAGCAGCCUGAUGAUUCAGGAGAUUAACACAAAUAAAAUGGAAGGCAGGCGGGGGAGGACUGUUUGGGCCUACAGCACUCAUCGGCACCUUGGCAUAUCUCUUUCUACAACUCCCAGCAUCAUCCGACGGAGAGGGGCUGCCGCCGGGGGAGUUAAGUUGGAAGUGCCGGCUUACGCCCAGUUCAGUAUUUUAGCAGCAGGCACUUCCACUGCCAGGUUUGUUCCUGAGCACCCAAGGCUGGGAUUGUGACCAGAGCCCAGAAGGAAAUUCAUGUGCUCCUUAACCACAUGGUCCCAUAAGCUCAUGAAGUCUUUGGCAAUGAAGUGUUAAUUAUCCAAGCAGAUCGCUGCACUACAACAUGAAAACACCCCUCUGCCAUCCCCGGGAAUAGGAGGACAUAGUUGGACUUCCCAUUUUUUUCCAAGAUGGACAUUGUUCCCACAGACAAUAGACUGCUGACCCUGUGCUCUGUGUUACUGAAUACCUCAAAUGCAGCCAGGCGCAUGUAGGCCAAAUGGGAGCUUAAAGGAAGCUCUAGUAGGAUAGUGUUGUGCAUUAGGAAACACAUUAUGUACACUGCAGCAUCAUUAUCUUCAUGCAAAAGGACAUUAGGUAAGCGUCAGUGCUAGCUUUUUCACUACAGAGUCUUAAACCAGCAAGAAACUCAUGUUAUAUGUGCUAAAAAAAUACCACAUAAUAUCAUAGGGCCACAGUGACAGAAUAAAUAAAGGAUGCUUAACACAGGCUUGGCAUAGAACAGACUUGGGUCUAACAAGGUUACAGCUGCCCAGUCCUAAACUCCCUAAACAAUCUACUGCACAACCUUCCCAACUGUCAAUUUCAGUGCUGAGGAUUUUUCAGGAUACCUAUUUGCUUUAUCAUUUUUUAUUCUACAGGGUCAGACUCAUCAUCCACAAAAACCUUUUUAUAGGGACCAAACAAUGUUUUGCAAGUUUGUCUUAGCCACAUCUCAACGCCUGUCAGUUUUGCCUCGUACUGUACUAAUUGGCAUUCACCCAUACACUGGCCAAUCACAUAUAGCAUCCAACAUAUUGUCCCACAGAUCAUGCAUGAUGCAAAUACCAUGCAAGGUGCCAAACACAGUCUUUCAUAUACCUCCUUUCCCUAUAUGUUUUUCUUUCAAUAAAGCUUCCUGUUAAAUAUGUUUAAGUUUUUAUGAAAGUAACUUUCAUAAAUAAAUGUACUUAAAAGCAUGCAAACAACAAUGUUCUGUUCUCAAAAGCAUUUUAACCUUGUAAGGUGUCUGGAGGUGGAUGAUUUGGGCUAUGCUCAAAAGAAAUUACUCUAAAGCAAUGUAAAAUCUGACAGCAGAAUUAGUAACAAAUACUUUAUAUUACCAAAAGUAUCUAGGCAUCUGCCAAUUUGCCUUUCAACAUCUCAUUCCAAAACUAAGGGUAUUAAUAUGAUAUUGGUCCUUCCUUUGUUGCUAUAACCUCCUCUGCUCUUCUGAGAGGACUUUCCACUACAUAUAGAAACAUUCAUCAU